AACGGGGGGGCUAGCGUUAUUGCGUCUUUACUGGGCUGUCGAAAUGGGUCUGGUAGGCAAGGACGUUAAACAGCUUAGCACGACACUUACACGAGUCUACUCGUAUUUUGUUGACUUUAGCUUGAAACGUCUUGAAUUCAGUAGAGGUUUUGGUACCUGCGAAGGAGGGGUGAAAUCCGAUUGUACGUUAGGGACACCGAAGGCGAAGGCGAAACUACUAUUGCUGAAUUGACGCUGAGGGACGGAAAGCGUGGGGCGCGAACGGG
rnacentral:rRNA from 1 species